rnacentral:sRNA from 1 species
AGGGGAGAAGUGGUUGGGUUCUGGGCCUGCUGGGCAGUGGAGCCAGCUGGGUUGGCCAUCAGGGUUCUGUCGUGAACAGAGGAGGACAGGCUGGACACCUGGAAAAGAUGGCGCGAGGCCCAGCGGAGGCCCCUCCCACUGGAGAGCUUUGGUAGUCCAGUGAGGUUGGGCCACUCUCAAUUUCCUUCCCUGCUGGCCAGGACUUUCGUGGGGAUCCAGGCCUCUGAGGCCUCCUGGAUGGAGGACGCCACCAACGUCGUGCGUGGCCUCAUCGUUGAGCUCUCCAACCUGAACCGACUGAUCAUGGGCACCCACCGGGACCUGGAAACUUUCAAGCGCCUCAACUACCGGAAGACAAAGCCGGGAGGCAAAGCCCCCCUGCCUUACCCUUCCAAGGGGCCUGGGAAUGUCCCUCGAGGGGACCCACCCUGGAGGGAGUUGUAGGCCACUUUGAGGUCUGUGUUUCCUUUGCCACCCAGCCCGCAUGUCUGCAGACCUCCUCCAAGAUGCUCCAGGGGGUCCUAGUGGACCCUACAAACCUCCCUUCAGUUGCCCGGAAGUUGGUCUUCGAUGGACAACACAAAGGAGGCCCUGAGGUCCUGGCCUCACCUGGCCAGGGUCAAGGUCAGUUGCCUCCCUUGGCUU